rnacentral:rRNA from 1 species
ACGAACGCUGGCGGCGUGCUUAACACAUGCAAGUCGCACGGAAAGGCCCUGCUUUUGUGGGGUGCUCGAGUGGCGAACGGGUGAGUAACACGUGAGUAACCUGCCCUUGACUUUGGGAUAACUUCAGGAAACUGGGGCUAAUACCGGAUAGGAGCUCCUGCUGCAUGGUGGGGGUUGGAAAGUUUCGGCGGUUGGGGAUGGACUCGCGGCUUAUCAGCUUGUUGGUGGGGUAGUGGCUUACCAAGGCUUUGACGGGUAGCCGGCCUGAGAGGGUGACCGGCCACAUUGGGACUGGGAUACGGCCCAGACUCCUACGGGAGGCAGCAGUGGGGAAUAUUGCACAAUGGGCGGAAGCCUGAUGCAGCAACGCCGCGUGCGGGAUGACGGCCUUCGGGUUGUAAACCGCUUUCGCCUGUGACGAAGCGUGAGUGACGGUAAUGGGUAAAGAAGCACCGGCUAACUACGU